rnacentral:misc_RNA from 1 species
AAGUCGUAACAAGGUUUCCGUAGGUGAACCUGCGGAAGGAUCAUUAACACGUAUCCAACGUUAAACAACCCUGUGAACUUUCAGCCUGCUCUUGCAUCCCAUGAGGAACAGCAAUCCCGGUAAAUCAUUGCCAAACAGUUUCGAUUCGGGACUCUGUCCAAAGGAGUGUACAAUUGAGCGGUAGAGGCAGUGGCAUGGCUUCCCCCGGUUGCUGGAGGUCGAUCACCGACCGGCAGACAUGUCAGGGUCACCACGCCCCUUAAUAACCCGACUUUUAAAUGCCCCGCCUAGUGGUAACGCGCUAGGUAAAAAAACCGAACAACCGUUAACAAUGGAUAUCUUGGUUCUC